rnacentral:rRNA from 1 species
CCCGAAUGGGGAAACCCAGUGUGACUCGUCACACUAUCAUUAACUGAAUCCAUAGGUUAAUGAGGCGAACCGGGGGAACUGAAACAUCUAAGUACCCCGAGGAAAAGAAAUCAACCGAGAUUCCCCCAGUAGCGGCGAGCGAACGGGGAGGAGCCCAGAGCCUGAAUCAGCAUGUGUGUUAGUGGAAGCGUCUGGAAAGGCGCGCGAUACAGGGUGACAGCCCCGUACACAAAAGCGCAUGUGCUGUGAGCUCGAUGAGUAGGGCGGGACACGUGGUAUCCUGUCUGAAUAUGGGGGGACCAUCCUCCAAGGCUAAAUACUCCUGACUGACCGAUAGUGAACCAGUACCGUGAGGGAAAGGCGAAAAGAACCCCGGCGAGGGGAGUGAAAAAGAACCUGAAACCGUGUACGUACAAGCAGUGGGAGCACCCUUUGGGUGUGACUGCGUACCUUUUGUAUAAUGGGUCAGCGACUUAUAUUCUGUAGCAAGGUUAACCGAAUAGGGGAGCCGGAGGGAAACCGAGUCUUAAUUGGGCGUUAAGUUGCAGGGUAUAGACCCGAAACCCGGUGAUCUAGCCAUGGGCAGGUUGAAGGUUGGGUAACACUAACUGGAGGACCGAACCGACUAAUGUUGAAAAAUUAGCGGAUGACCUGUGGCUGGGGGUGAAAGGCCAAUCAAACCGGGAGAUAGCUGGUUCUCCCCGAAAGCUAUUUAGGUAGCGCCUCGUGAAUUCAUCUCCGGGGGUAGAGCACUGUUUCGGCUAGGGGGCCAUCCCGGCUUACCAACCCGAUGCAAACUGCGAAUACCGGAGAAUGUUAUCACGGGAGACACACGGCGGGUGCUAACGUCCGUCGUGAAGAGGGAAACAACCCAGACCGCCAGCUAAGGUCCCAAAGUCAUGGUUAAGUGGGAAACGAUGUGGGAAGGCCCAGACAGCCAGGAUGUUGGCUUAGAAGCAGCCAUCAUUUAAAGAAAGCGUAAUAGCUCACUGGUCGAGUCGGCCUGCGCGGAAGAUGUAACGGGGCUAAACCAUGCACCGAAGCUGCGGCAGCGACACUGUGUGUUGUUGGGUAGGGGAGCGUUCUGUAAGCCUGUGAAGGUGUGUCGUGAGGCAUGCUGG